GGAAACAGGUGCUAAUACCGUAUAACACUAUUUUCCGCAUGGAAGAAAGUUGAAAGGCGCUUUUGCGUCACUGAUGGAUGGACCCGCGGUGCAUUAGCUAGUUGGUGAGGUAACGGCUCACCAAGGCCACGAUGCAUAGCCGACCUGAGAGGGUGAUCGGCCACACUGGGACUGAGACACGGCCCAGACUCCUACGGGAGGCAGCAGUAGGGAAUCUUCGGCAAUGGACGAAAGUCUGACCGAGCAACGCCGCGUGAGUGAAGAAGGUUUUCGGAUCGUAAAACCCUGUUGUUAGAGAAGAACAAGGAUGAGAGUAAAAUGUUCAUCCCUUGACGGUAUCUAACCAGAAAGCCACGGCUAACUACGUGCCAGCAGCCGCGGUAAUACGUAGGUGGCAAGCGUUGUCCGGAUUUAUUGGGCGUAAAGCGAGCGCAGGCGGUUUCUUAAGUCUGAUGUGAAAGCCCCCGGCUCAACCGGGGAGGGUCAUUGGAAACUGGGAGACUUGAGUGCAGAAGAGGAGAGUGGAAUUCCAUGUGUAGCGGUGAAAUGCGUAGAUAUAUGGAGGAACACCAGUGGCGAAGGCGGCUCUCUGGUCUGUAACUGACGCUGAGGCUCGAAAGCGUGGGGAGCGAACAGGAUUAGAUACCCUGGUAGUCCACGCCGUAAACGAU
rnacentral:rRNA from 1 species